rnacentral:rRNA from 1 species
UUGGAGGGCAAGUCUGGUGCCAGCAGCCGCGGUAAUUCCAGCUCCAAUAGCGUAUAUUAAAGUUGUUGCAGUUAAAAAGCUCGUAGUUGAAUUUCGGGGUUCAUACGUUGGUCGGGCUUUUUGGUCUGUACUAGCGUAAUGGAUUCCUACCUUCUGAAUAACCGGCAUGUCAUUAAUUUGGUGCGCCGGGGAAGCAGGACUGUUACCUUGAAAAAAUUAGAGUGCUUAAAGCAGGCUAUCGCCUGAAUACAUUAGCAUGGAAUAAUGAAAUAGGACGGCAUGGUUCUAUUUUGUUGGUUUCUAGGAUCACCGUAAUGAUUAAUAGCGAUAGUUGGGGGCAUUAGUAUUCAAUUGUCAGAGGUGAAAUUCUUGGAUUUAUUGAAGACUAACUUCUGCGAAAGCAUUUGCCAAGGAUGUUUUCAUUAAUCAAGAACGAAAGUUAGGGGAUCGAAGACGAUCAGAUACCGUCGUAGUCUUAACCAUAAACUAUGCCGACUAGGGAUCGGACGAUGUUAAUUUUUUAAUGACUCGUUCGGCGCCUUACGGGAAAC